CCACCCCGGAGACUCUGAUGUCAUUAGUCUGGGGUUGACACCUGGGCAUUUGUUAAAUUUCCCCAGGGUGUUCCAGUGACUCCAGCAGCUAGGAUCACGCUCUAGCUGCCGUGUGGAGACUGGACUGGAGGGAGAAGGGAGAAGACGCAAGCAGGGCAGUUAGGAGGCUGAUGCGGUGGUCCAGGUGAGCAACAACGGCAGCUUAGACUGGAGUGGUGACAGGGAAGGUGGAGGGGUGUGAAUAGAUUUUAAAUAUAUUUAGGAGGAAAAAAAUCAACAGGACUUUUAGAUGGAUAGGAAAUGGGGACGGGGUUGGGACUUACAUUCAGCAUCAGUUUGAAGGUAACAUCAGCAUGAGAGUUAAGACCCUGUGCUUGCAGGUGGCCUCAGCUAGAAGAUCCUGGGAACACGGGCCGGACAUUGCCAUGGGCGACUGAAGAGGUGCCUCUUUCCUAUCCGCCUGGCAGUUAAGGCAGCGACGAAGAUCGCAGCAGGGCUGGCACGCUCUGAUUUUCUCCUGAGCGCUAAGUGGAGCUGCAAGGUGACAGAACCUCCCCGCAGUGCUCGGGUGGGACGUUCCUGUUUUAGAGCCGAGUUGCCUGAGAACCCUCUGGGAUUGGGCCCCGCCCUUCAGGGAAGAGCACCCGGCAGAGUGUUGUAUCCAGGACUGACCAGCAGGGGGCGAGCCAGACUCGGAAAUGACCAUUGCUGAGACCUGGGUGAAUCUUGCUGCUGUUUCCAACUCAAGAAGUCUGGUUUUUCCUGGACCCCUGCCCUUGAAGACAACCAGAGACCAGACUGAAAAACCCCAUGGACCGUGGACGUGUUUCAUCUCUCAUUCCUCCCUGGGGAGUAGAGAAUUGACUUAUGCCCAUUGUCCUUGUAUGAUAAAUGAUUGAAAAUAACUUUUUAGUACGGUAGAGGCUAAUUUCUUUACUUUGUAUUCUAUAAUUUGUUGAUUUUUAAGAGAAAAGGGAAAAAACUCCCUUUGGGAUGCGACAUUCACAGAAUUCGUGCUAGAAAGGUCUUAGAUUGUAUCCAUUUUACACGUUCAAGUUUAAGAGGAGAAACAAGGCAGUGGGAAGGCAUCAGGAGGGGACCACUGUCUUCGGUGUUCUGGUCUCUGCGCUUCCCUCUACCCUACCCUUAGGUGGUCCUAGAACUUGGUUGGGGUGGCACCCCACAAAUAUUGAAGGAAAAAGCUGCCUGAAGGAGCAGAGCAGUAAAUUAAAUAUCCAACGAGCACAAGACUCACAUUUGUUUUUCUUUUAAAAUAAGCAACAGCAGGUGGAGAAUAUCAGACUUAAUCUAUAUUCGCCUUCAGAUUAUGAUGAAAAGCUAUUUUCCACUUGUGUCUCCUCUCUUUCUCCCGCCCCACCCCUCUGAGCUAGCCUUAGUUGCGUUCUCUUUUCUGAAUCCAUCGUGGUAUUCGGUAACCGCUUUGAAUUUCUCACUGGCAAAAGCUAAUUGCUAAUGUUGAUUUUGCUUAUUCUACACAGAAUUGCAUGGAGGGCUUUCUGUACAUUUUCCACUUCAUCCUCACAGAAUAUUAUAUGAGAUUAGUACUGUUAUUAUCCCCAUUUUACAGAUGAGAAAACUGAGGCUCAGAAAGCAUAGAGACCUAGCCACGGUCUCUCAGCAAUAAGUGACGAAAUGAGGGUCAAACUUUACUUCUUGACUCUGAAGCUCACACUCUUAACUCCACCCCAUACUACCACAUGUUUACUUGCCUUUUAAAACAAAAAAGAAGAAACAUUUAGGGGAGAACAGAUAGAAGACUCUUAAUAGGUUCUAGCAAACUGCCCUAUAAGCAUAGGAGCUCAAUGAAUGUUUGAAGCCUAAAGGAAAUGCUCUGAAGACUAAAUGGCUUAAUUUGUAUAAAGACCCAGAAGGGCGUCUGGUACUUAGUGAGGUCUAGAUGGGUAUUAGGUGUUGUUAUUAAUUUGUGGAGCUAACCGUGUCAGAUUUAUGCUGCAGCUAAUACCUCAAAAGGGAAGACACUUCUUGUCAGGGUCCAAGGUCACAGAGACCAACGAUGCUAUUGAGGCAGUUUAAAGAGACUUCCUUGAAAUAGCACCUCCAAGUAGCUGGAGGGCUUGGGCUUGUUAACAAAACCAUCUGGGACAUUCUGGCUAUGGGAACAAUCAGCCAGGACUCAUGGGAGGGAAGGAGUGGAACCCCUUAUUAUCACCGAUGUUUGGAAUUUGGGACCACCUUCUCCCCCUUGCAUUUCCUUUUGCACAGACCAAAUCUAUAGUUACCGCUUUCUUCCUGGGACUCCUAUGCUGUCUGCUGCUUGCUCCCUCUUCUGUUAUCUUUUCGUGUAGGUGGAUCCUUUUUGCCUAUAUUUGAAACGUCAAUCUCUUUUGCCACCCAUUCUGGGGGCAACCUGCACAUGGCCUGGGUAAGUGGGCAGCAAAUCGUGUGAUCCCUACACUUUCCCCAGCCAUGAUGAAUCAGGGUGACCAUUUGACCCUCAAGGUCAUAAUGGAGCGUUGGAACUGGCCGCCAUCUUGGGUCAUGCAAGAUAAGUAAGCAAAUAAAAAAGCCUAAGAGAGACA
rnacentral:lncRNA from 1 species